AGUCGAGCGAAUUUGAUGGGAGCUUGGUCCCUGAGAGUUAGCGGCGGACGGGUGAGUAACACGUGGGUAACCUGCCUGUAAGACUGGGAUAACUCCGGGAAACCGGGGCUAAUACCGGAUAACUUUUUCCUUCUCAUGAAGGAGAAUUGAAAGAUGGGUCUGGCUAUCACUUACAGAUGGACCCCCGGCGCAUUAUCUAGUUGGUGAGGUAACGGCUCACCAAGGCGACAAUGCGUAGCCGACUUGAGAGGGUGAUCGGCCACACUGGGACUGAGACACGGCCCACACUCCUACGGGAGGCGGCAGUAGGGAAUCUUCCCCAAUGGACGAAAGUCUGACGGAGCAACGCCGCGUGAGUGAUGAAGGUUUUCUGAUCGUAAAACUCUGUUGUUAUGGAAGAACAAGUAUCGUUCGAAUAGGGGGGUACCUUGACGGUACCUAACCACAAAGCCACGGCUAACUACGUGCCACCAGCCGCGGUAAUACGUAGGUGGCAAGCGUUGUCCGGAAUUAUUGGGCGUAAAGCGCGCGCAGGCGGUGUCUUAAGUCUGAUGUGAAAGCCCACGGCUCAACCGUGGAGGGUCAUUGUAAACUGGGAGACUUGAGUGCAGAAGAGAAAGCGGAAUUCCACGUGUAGCGGUGAAAUGCGUAUAGAUGUGGAGGAACACCAGUGGCGAAGGCGGCUCUUUGGUCUGUAACUGACGCUGAGGCGCGAAAGCGUGGGGAGCGAACAGGAUUAUAUACCCUGGUAGU
rnacentral:rRNA from 1 species